AUUGAACGCUGGCGGCAUGCCUUACACAUGCAAGUCGAACGGUAACAGGUCUUCGGAUGCUGACGAGUGGCGAACGGGUGAGUAAUACAUCGGAACGUGCCUAGUAGUGGGGGAUAACUACUCGAAAGAGUGGCUAAUACCGCAUGAGAUCUACGGAUGAAAGCAGGGGAUCGCAAGACCUUGUGCUACUAGAGCGGCCGAUGGCAGAUUAGGUAGUUGGUGGGAUAAAAGCUUACCAAGCCGACGAUCUGUAGCUGGUCUGAGAGGACGAUCAGCCACACUGGGACGGAGACACGGCCCAGACUCCUACGGGAGGCAGCAGUGGGGAAUUUUGGACAAUGGGCGCAAGCGUGAGCCAGCAAGGCCGCGUGCAGGAUGAAGGCCUUCGGGUUGUAAACUGCUUUUGUACGGAACGAAAAGCCCUGGGUUAAUACCCUGGGGUCAUGACGGUACCGUAGGAAUAAGCACCGGCUAACUACGUGCCAGCCGCCGCCGUAAAAC
rnacentral:rRNA from 1 species